rnacentral:rRNA from 1 species
GACGAACGCUGGCGGCGUGCCUAACACAUGCAAGUCGAGCGGGGAUUUAAGUGGAAGUUCUUCGGAAUGGAGAUUUAAAUUCUAGCGGCGGACGGGUGAGUAACGCGUGAACAAUCUGUCCCGGACAGGGGGAUAACACUUGGAAACAGGUGCUAAUACCGCAUAAGACCACGGCCUCGCAUGGGGCUGAGGUAAAAGGAGCAAUCCGGUUCGGGGUGAGUUCGCGUCCGAUUAGCUAGUUGGUGAGGUAACGGCCCACCAAGGCGACGAUCGGUAGCCGGCCUGAGAGGGUGAACGGCCACAUUGGAACUGAGAGACGGUCCAAACUCCUACGGGAGGCAGCAGUGGGGAAUAUUGGGCAAUGGGCGAAAGCCUGACCCAGCAACGCCGCGUGAGGGAAGAAGGUUUUCGGAUUGUAAACCUCUGUCCUAUGGGACGAAGGAAGUGACGGUGCCAUAGGAGGAAGCCCCGGCUAACUACGUG